GGUUUUUUUUUUCCUUUUUC
rnacentral:miRNA from 1 species